UGGGGGAUAUUGCACAAUGGGCGAAAGCCUGAUGCAGCGACGCCGCGUGGGGGAUGAAGGCUUUCGGGUUGUAAACCUCUUUCGCUAUCGAACAAGGCCCGCUUAGGGUGGGUUGAGGGUAGGUGGAGAAGAAGCGCCGGCUAACUACGUGCCAGCAGCCGCGGUAAUACGUAGGGCGCGAGCGUUGUCCGGAAUUAUUGGGCGUAAAGGGCUUGUAGGCGGCUUGUUGCUCCUGCUGUGAAAACGCGGGGCUUAACUUCGCGCGUGCAGUGGGUACGGGCAGGCUUGAGGGUGGGAGGGGUGACUGGAAUUCCAGGUGUAGCGGUGGAAUGCGCAGAUAUCUGGAGGAACACCGAUGGCGAAGGCAGGUCACUGGGCCAUUACUGACGCUGAGGAGCGAAAGCAUGGGUAGCGAACAGG
rnacentral:rRNA from 1 species